UGGCAGUUCCUCAAAAAAUUAAACAUAGAAAUACCAUAUGAUCCAGCAAUUCCACUUCUGGGUAGAACCCAGGAGAAGUGAGUGGAGCCUCAAACAGAUAUUUGCCUACCCAUGUGCACAGCAGCCCUACUCUCAACAGCCAAGCAGGGGACACAGCCAGUGUCCAUCAAGGGACAGAUGGACAGAGAGAUGUGGUCCACCUUCACAAGGGAACAGUCUCCACUGUAAAAAGGAAGGAGGUUCUGACAUCUGCUAUGACAAGGGUGAACCUUGAGGACACAAUGCUCAGUGACAUAGGCCAGACACAAGAGGACAAGUACUGUGUGGCCCACUUACCUGAGGUCCCUGGAGCAGUCAGAGUCCUAGAGACAGGACGCAGGACGGUGGGUGCCAGGGGCUGGGGGUGGGAUGGAGAAUCACUGUUUCACGGGGGCAGAGUAUCUGUUGGGGAAGAGCUAGACAGUGGUGAUGGUCACAUGACAAUGUAAAUGGACUUAAUGCCGCUGGCCUGGACACACCUCUGAGCAGAUAGAAUGGUAAAAAAGUGUUAGGUUGUUUUACCACAAUAAUAAAGAAGAAACAAACCCAAACAGCAGGUGCAGGGAAGGGGUUUCAGACUUUUAGGGCUCCCACGUGGGGGAGGCCUGGGAGCCCCGACUCCUGCCCUUGGUCACACUAGCCACGGAGAUGACGCCAAGCCUCAGAUGCAGGCCGUCUGAGGAAGAAGAGGUCAAAGUGCGGACUUGUACCCUGGCCCUGCCAGCAGAACCGUGGUGUCCUUUGGAUGGAAUUGACUCUGGGACCCCCUGGAACGGGCUUCCUGGGGUGGAACCAAUCUGAGUCCCAUUUGGAUUACAACCGAGGUACAAGGACUGACUCUUGCCUAAACAGUGGCAGAGAAAAUAGAACUCCUUUUUUAAAAAUAUCAUUUUAUUCCUGUUGUCCUGCCAUAAUUUUGGCGAGGAGGGAGCUGCACCUUGACUCAUGUGGGAUCUUAAUUCCCAUACCAGAUCGAACCUGCAUCCCUUGCCGUGCAAGCGCAGAGUCUUAAACACUGGACCAACAGGAAAAUCCUGAAAGUAGAACUUUCGAUUUCUCACAGCCGUGCCUCCACUCCAUCAAUUUAAGGUUCAGAAAGUGCUUUCCCGCCCGGCACCAGCCCUUCUUCCCUGUCCCCAGGCCCUGAGCACACAGCCCCCUGUGCUCGAGCCUUCCUGGGCGUGAGUGACACGUAGCGCCUGAAGUUUUGGGCAGAAGGAAGGGGGCCACUGGCUGUCUUCUCACCCCGAGCCUGGUCUUCUUCCCAGCUCACACGGCUGAUGAGGAAUUCAGCUCCUCUCGGGCUGGCUGUCGAGUUCUCCGCCAAGUGGUCCUCUCUCUUCAAAGACAGACACAGAGCAUCUGGCCCUCCUCAAACCCCUCGCACUUGUCCAUCUCUACUCCUCUCCUCUGGUCUCUGCAUCCGGAUUCAAAGGCCCUCGGGCUCAGGUCAGGCCCACUGGGUGGAUAAGCCGUCUCCCACCUUACAUCCCCGGAUGUCAGGUGAGCAAAGCUGGGGUCUCUGGAUGUGAGAUGGCAGAGGCCCCAGGCUGGGGCUCCUUGGCUCCUAGUACCGGAAGUUCCAGUGCAUUCAGAUGCAGCUGGUUUGAGGUAGGACCCGGGCAUUGGUAUCCAGGAAAUCCUCAGGGGCCCGGAGAGCCAUGCUGGCCUUGAGGACUGUGGGCAUGAAACAGACGGGUAAGCACAUCAGCUGGUCCUGGCUGCUGCAGUGGAGCACACAGCUGGGCAGCUCUAACAGUGGACGCUUAUUUCUCACAGACCAAGAAGCCAGAAGUCCAAGAUCAGGGCUCUGCCUGGUGGGUGACCGACUUCUGUGUUUUCACUGGAGGAAGGGGCAGGGGCCUCUCGGGGUCUCUUUUAUAAGGGCCCUGACUCCAUUCCUCAGAGCUCCACUCUCCUGACCUGGUUACCCCCAGAGGCCCCACUGACACCACCACACUGGGCCUCUGGGUUAGCCUGUGAAUCUGGGGGCGCACAGACCUCCAGCCUGUAGCCCUGCCCAGGGGAGGAGAGCGGGGGAGAAGUCGCUGGUCUCAGUGCUUUGGCCCGUCGGGGCUUUUAAUGAGGAUUGGGUAUGGGGUCUGUGAGACGCUGCCUGCCCAGCUUAGACAGGGGUCUGAGAUGUGCAGGAUCUGGGCCGACGUGGCUGGAAAACGACUGGACUCAGGGUGGCAGUCACUGGGCCUUGAUAAUUCAGAGUGGGAGAAGGUUACCUCCGGGCUUCUGUGGGGCCAUGGAAUCAGGUUUAUUUUUGUUUAUUUAUUUUUUAAAAUAUUUAUUUAUUUGAUUGAGCCAGGUCUUAGUUGUGCCAUGCGGGAUCUUCAGUUUCUGCAUGUGGGAUCUUAGUUCCUGGACCAGGCAUGGAUCCCAUGUCCCCUGCACCGAGAGCGUGAAGUCUUAGCCACUGGACCACCAGGGAGGCCCCAGAAUCAAGGUUUAAAUGCCCUUAUCCUUUGACCUGAAAAUUCUAGAAGGCUUGAUGAUGUUGGGAGCCACAAAACGAGUGCUGAGAGACAUGGAUGGGUGUCUGGCUGUCCCCAUCAGAGGAAGGUGGACCUUCUUCGUGUUGUCACCAACCCUCCACUGGACACGCCCAAGAUCCUGGGGCUUCGUCAGCCCAGAGAGGCGAGAGCAGUAAGAACUCUUGGCAAGAGCCAUCCACUCAAACCAGGCACUAAGAGCCCUCGCCCCUGCUUACGGCCACAUCCAGGACUGCCACCUUGCCCCCCGCGACCCCUGGAACAGCUUGGCUUUCACGAAAGCUCGUGGGGUCCCUGCAUUUCUUUCUCUCUAAGAAAAAGCCG